UCCCCAGCCCCAGCCCCGCCAUCUCCACCAGACCUGACAGUUCACAAAUCUCAUCUUGGAGAUGGUUUCCCUGCUCCUGGGGCAGUUCUGGUACAGUUCAGGAUGGCCAGGACUGUGGGUUCUCAGCAGCCUGGCCUGGUGGACAAAGGAAAUGCAAGAUGGUGGCAAACCAGCAUUCAGCCUCAUCUGCUCCUUUCCUCCCCUGCCUGAUCAGCCAGCCUGCAUGAGCCUCUGUAUUUGUUUCUGGCUUCUCCAUGGAACUCAGCCUACAGCCACAAAGCAAACCACGGGGCCAGUGACAGAGAAGGCAGAGGGGAGUGAGGAGUGGGAAACACCUAACCUGUUCUCAAGGAAGGGAAUGACUGGCCAAGAUGAGAUUCAAUCGUAUGUCCACUACCUCCUGGCCUGCCACCUGGCUGUGAGUCCUUUGUGGGUGGUGUCCAGAGGCGGUUCCAGUGACCAGGCAGGUGCUGAGAAGCACAGGCAGACCAAGCAGCAUGGAGGCCACGGUGAGACUCCUGAGGGAGAAGGCAAACCCAGAUAAGGCUCAUCAGGACCAGAUCUUGUGGGAACUGGAGAGAACAAUCCCAGAUGACGUCCAUUGGGACCAGAUCUUGUGGGAAACACAGAGAACAAUCCCAGAUGACGUCCAUCGGAACCAGAUCUUGUGGGAACUGGAGAGAACAAUCCCAGAUGAUGUCCAUCAGGACCAGAUCUUGUGGGAACCGCACUUCAAAGUGCUGCCAACCCACAAACACUGCAUGCAGCAUCACAUGGAUGCCCUCUGCAAGGGGGAGGGGAUGCUUGCAGGAUGGAGGAAAUACCAGAGUGGCAUGUGGGGCUCAUUAAAGGAGAAGUUACCCUCUCACACCCUACCUCCUUCUAUAGACUUUAGGAGUGAUGUCUUUGGAAGGGGCUCGCCUACAUCACAUCAGAUGUAUUAAAUAUAUUAAAACACAUCCACGCCUCAUGGAACAUUUUCACUGUAGAAAUGAGAGGUUGAAUAUCAUUUUCUAAUUUUGUUUUUGAAACAUAACUGUAUUUUGCAGGAUUGCUAUGUGUUGGUUUUGUUGCUAUUUUGGUUUCUUUCUAACAAGCUAAAGGUUUCUACUCAGGCUUCUGACCUCAUAGACCUUUCGAAAGCUCAGGGUUGUGGAAGCCUCUGGGCCCAUGGUGUUCCCCUGAUGAGGCAGCCCUGCCCUCCUUUCUCAUCACUGUGCACGCUCCAUGGGCAGUCACA
rnacentral:lncRNA from 1 species